rnacentral:rRNA from 1 species
GUCGCGGGUGUCUCCA